rnacentral:rRNA from 1 species
CAAUUGUUUGUUGGUUACUUGAAUUGAGAAAUGAUGAAUAGGAACGGUUGGGGGCAUUUGUAUUUGGCCGCUAGAGGUGAAAUUCUUGGAUUGGCCGAAGACAAACUACUGCGAAAGCAUUUGACCCAGGACGUUUUCAUUGAUCAGGGACUAAAGUUGAGGGAUCGAAGACGAUUAGAUACCGUCGUAGUCUUAACCACAAACUAUGCCGACUAGCGAUUGGGCCUUGACCUUUGGUCAGGUUCAGCAGCUUAGCGAAAGUAAAGUCUUUGGGUUCUGGGGGGAGUAUGGGACGCAAGGCUGAAACUUAAAGGAAUUGACGGAAGGGCACCACCAGGAGUGGAGCCUGCGGCUUAAUUUGACUCAACACGGGGAAACUCACCAGGUCCAGACAUAAGAAGGAUUGACAGAUUGAAAGCUCUUUCUAGAUUUUAUGGGUGGUGGUGCAUGGCCGUUCUUAGUUCGUGGAGUGAUUUGUCUGGUUAAUUCCGAUAACGAACGAGACCUUAUUCUGCUAAAUAGCUGGGCCAACUUUUUAGUUGGUAGUAUGGUGCUUCGGCACCCCAGCUUCUUAGAGAGACUACUGAAUUCAAUUCAGUGGAAGUUUUAGGCAAUAACAGGUCUGUGAUGCCCUUAGAUGUUCUGGGCCGCACGCGCGCUACACUGACAAAGUCAGCGAGUUUUUAUUCCUUGGCCGGAACGCUUGGGUAAACUUAAGCAAACUUUGUCCUGCUGGGGAUAGAACAUGGCAAUAG